GAGAUUCAGAAGAGAAAAGAGAAAGAGAGAAGAGAGCUAGAGCAAGAGAAACAGAGGAGGAUGGUAACUUAACUUGUCUGAGCAAGAGCACUUGUUGUUUAAUGGAGGAAUCUUUUUGUUUGACAUGUGUUUAUCUCUUUAUGUCAUUCAGCUAGCUUCUCCAAUUAUUUGGGUUCAUAUCCUUCUUUACCUCAAACUACUGUAGGAUGGGGUAGCUGAAAAGUCAAGGUCUGCUAAUGCUGAUUCUGCUUCAGUUUCAAAGCAAUCACCACCAAGGGCUUCUAGUGUUUAUCCUGAGAAAGAUACAGAAGCGGAGAUGGGGCAUCAUUCAAAAUCAAAAAGCUGGUAAGUAACCACAUGCCUUCCUGUCUUCUCCCCACUUACUUUUUAUAUGACUUAGCAGUGUUGUUGUGUUCAGUGAACAAUCUGAUCCCAUUUGUAGUUAUUCAGGCUAAAAUUCUUCUCAAACUUGCAUGCAUCAGAUGAUCCUUCAUAUAAGCAUAUGAAGUUUUUUCCUCAUAAAGUAGAAAAAUUGAUCAUUGAUGUUACAAUAGCAAGUGGCCAACAUUAAAUCUCUAUGUUUUUAGAUAUACCAGACAUCAUGCCCAAGCAUUGGGUAAUCUAUCCAACACCCCCUUUCCUCCUUCCAACAUACAGGCACAUGAAAAAGGUAAAAAGAAACUUUUCUUUCCCUUCUAGUGACAGUCCUCGCUAUUAUUACUUGGACCAGGAGCAAGGGUUUCAUCUUGGCAUAGAGCUUCACCAAGAUCUCGGUUUGUAUUAGCAUCAGCCAGUGGCUGAUUCGAUAAGUUUCAAAUAUAGGCCUAAAAUAUCCCUGGUGAUAUAAACAGAUAACUCCUGGAAAAUUUGGUAAAAAAAUAUGGGUAUAUCCACCAAGAUGUUUUAACUACAUUUAUUAAUGUAAUGUUGGUCAAUGCUAAAAAUCAAAAUCAAAGUCAGCUCCAGAUUUAUCACUUCAUGUGUCAAUCUAGUUAGACUGUGAGGAGGACAGAUGGUUGGGACCAUCUGGGAUGGGCUGUUGGUCGAAAUUGGAGGCUGUUAAAGUUCGAUCUGGUUCAUGGCAUGGCAAUGACGAUGAAAAUUGGCUUGACCUUAUUCUUCUUCUAUUUUUUCAUUGGGAGGAGAAAGAUGGAUAACGGGAGGAGAAGAUGAUGGGGAGGUGAGAAGAAAUAACAGGGAGGAGAAGAUGAUGGAGAGGUGAGAAGAAAACAAGUGGAUUCAACGCAUUGAUGGCAUUGGAGAAGGAGAAGGGAUCAAUAGAGAAGAGUUAGAAAGGAGGAAUGGAGGGAAGAGGAAGUUCUUUGAGGUAAGUGAGGUGAAUUUGGAUGGCUUUGUGAGAAGGGAAGAUAAGCUAGUCAUGGAUGGUGGUGGAGGCUGGCUAGGAGGGAGGGGGCCGGAGUAGAAGUGGAGUUGAAUCUUCUUAGAAAGGACUCUAAUUCCUUUCUCUUGGCUGACAAUUUGCCGAUAUCCUGAUCUGUCCAUAGAUAUUUUUCUUGAUAAUGAAUUAUUGGACUUCUCUAAAUCAGUUCCACCUUCCAUCUUGGUUGGGACAAUCCAAAAUCUCAGUUAUCUUGGUAAUCAGAACCUGUUUUCUAGGUAUUGGGAACCCACCAAGAUAACCGACACAUCUGGAUUGAAAAACCCUGAUUAGAGGGUGGAGAAUGGAGGAGGGCAGGUAGAUAUUAACAGAGAAACAUUGCUAAAGAGGACUAAUGGAAUGAUCGAGAAUUUUGGUUAGUGAGGUUUCUGUACUAAAAAAGACUUUGGUUUAGUACUUAGCACAUGAUCGUGGACAGUUGGGGAUUGAUUGAGAAAUAGAGAAUAGAAAAAGAAAAAAAUGGAAGACGAGCAGAAAAAAAUUAAACAGGGACAUGGAACAAACAGUUCUAGCAUCAUGAUUAGUCGCUAGACUAUCUGAAGUAUAGCAGAAGAUAUGUAGAAUGACAUCUUCUGAUUGCGGUAGAAAGUAGAAACAUAUAGAUUUAUUUGUUAAUUUAUUUUGGUUCUCCUGUCAUUCAUUAAUUUCCUGAAAAUUGCCAUCUAUUAAAGAAUUAGACUCCUGCUUGUUAUGGGAUUUGAUGUUUGCUGCUUGACAUAGUUGCCUUUAAACCUUUCUAUUUAUUUGUUGAUAUAUUUGGUUUAUUUUUGAAAUGACUAGAUUGAUUGUAUGAUCUAUGGUUAAUCUUGUUAACUAAAUGGCUUCUUUGUCCCAACUAAUCUGUUCCUAAGUGUCAAGGUGAUGAUGUUGAACUAAGAAUCACUUCUAAAAAAGACAAAAAAAUUUGGACCGUAUUUUAUCUUUAUGCUUCAUUAGUAGAUUGGUUUGUGAUCCCUUCCAUCCAUCUUACUUUGUUUGCACUUCAUGCGGUAUAAUGAAAGUGUUUACAAAAGAAGGUUGUACUCUGUAUGGAUGAUAACUAGUGCUUAGAAACUCGUGACAAGUUUUUUCAUGGAGGAGUUUGACUUACCUCCAAUAUAAAAGAUAAUUCAAAUGCUAGCUUUAAAGGUUUAGGCCAGCAUCUAAGUUCUAAACAACUUGCUCCCUAUACACAUUGUCUUGAUGUGCUUUUAGAAUUUUGUUCACUGAUUCAUUUUUGUGUUCUUAUAUUUUUCUAAUUCCACUUGCAACAGAGUCCUGCUGAUUGUGUCUGCAAUAUUUGCUUUGUGUUGUAAUUACUGUGGUUGUGCACUAUGUGCAGGCAUGUAUAACAGUUAUUUGCUGAUACAUUGUGCAUAGAGCAAAUGUUGCCUUCUGAUCUUCUAUAUGAUCUUUGUUCCACUUUUGUUUUGAGAAUUGGUACUAUCUUGUGCAUGUGUAGUGCUUAAUCAUUUUGGCAUAUAGUAUCACUGAUGUGGGCAGAACUGUUUGGCAUAUUUUAAUUGAUAUCUUAAGUGUGGUGGAAUCAUUUUAUUUUUGUAUUUGCUAAUCUGUUUAAAUUUAGCAGCUCUAAUAAUUUUUUUUCAGCAUGUAGGCAUUUUCCACCAUUGAGUGUAGCUUAUGCUUUUUACCACUGGUCCUGUGAGGUAAAGUUGGUUUAGUAUUGUUGGUUCUGACUUGGGAUAAAUUAGGUAGAUUUCUGAUUGCAUGGGUCUCUCAUAAAUGAAUAAUUUGAAGGCAAAUGAAAUGCAAGUUUUGCGUUUAUCUGUUGCAUGAACCAGUUUUUGCCCAUAAACUAAAUUAUUCCUUUUCUUUAGGCCCUCUUUGUCUCCAUGUUCGCAUGAUCAUUCGCCAUCUCGUCGGUAAUACCCUUUCUUUGAUUUGAUUUUCAAUAUGUUCUUAUCAUAUUAUGGUUCCUAUUACGGGUAACCAAUGUGGGUAUUGACAUGUUACUUUUAUUUUCCUCCAGGCAGACACCUUCCCCAAGUAGGUCAUGCAGCAAAUCGUUUUCAAAAUCUGGGAGCUACUCAAAGUACCUUUCUUUCUUCCUUUCUUUUUUUGGUAUCAGUUCUAGAAUUUUGUUUAUAUAUGUUUGUGAUUUUAGCAGCCUAUCCUGGACUAAGAUGUCUUCUAGAUUUAUUAGAACAUUGUUACAGUAGAUAUUGGAGUAAUUUUAUUGUCUAUUUCAUGUCAUGGCUUUGCAAUAUGGGCCACAAUGUGAAGCUUGCCUAAUCAAUUUCUUGAUGGCUUCUAAUGUAAAUGAACUGAAUUUCCCAAGAAAAGAUCUUUCUAGAGUAUGGUCCAUACUUCCAUGAAAUUUGAUAAUUCAUGUUCUGGGAAGUGUUUCUCAUAAAUAUGAUUAUUGGUAAUAUUUGGCGAAAGAAUGAAGUGUUUUGAAAAGAUGAUUAUUUUAUGAUAUCAUUUUCUGAUGAUUGAAUAUCAGUUUAAUAAGUUUCUUGCUCAUGCAAGUUGUGAUUUGCUAUUGCUUUGGUUACUUGUUUAAGCAUGAUUGACAAAUGUCUCCUCCUAUCAGGGAAGGUUGCAAAUCAAGAAGUAUGUCUGUUUCAUCUCAGUCACAAAGGUCAAAUUCUCCUAAGAGGCAGUAUCGCUCACCACCCAGAUGGUCUAUAUCUUCUGAGAGGCGAUACAGAUCUCCACCUCGACGUUCCGUUUCUCCAAGCCGUGAGCAUUCACCACGAUACAAUCGAUCACCUUUAAGACGAAGAUUGCCUCAUACUAGGCAAAGAUCGGUUUCCUUAUCCAGGAAUCGAUCUUCCUCUCCUGUCCGGCAGAGAUCUCCUUAUGCACAAAAAAGAUCUCCAUCAUAUGUGCGGCGUGGGUCUCCUUCCUCUCGUCACAGGUCUCCAGUUCAAGUCCGCAGGAGAUCACCUUCUCCCUUACAUCACAGGUCUUCUAUCCGACGCAGCUCUUUGUCACCAGUCCGGUGCAGGUCCCCAUCUCCUUUAAGGAGGAGAUCACCUCCACCUAGGUCUCCAAAGCACCGAAGGAGGUCACCUAUGCGUUUGCCUAGAAGUCAUGUUGUGGGUUAUCAAGCAUCUCGUUGGCAAAGAAAGAGGUCCUGAUGCAGAGCCUAAUUGUAUACUGCUCUUUCUGGAUUAGCUGUGGUAAUGUUCUUCCAUCACAUUGCAUGUCUGAUGUUGUAGUACUUUGCAGGAGCCGCAGUCCAUGUAGGAGCCCGAGUCCAUCAUAUCCAACUCAUAGGAGUUCGAGUAGGGGGAUUAAUAACCAUAUUAAUGGAAUCAACUCCAAACAUUAUCAUGGUGGAUACACAUCUCAAAGGUGGUUCUAAUUUUCUGUUCUUUGUCAUUCCAGUCAUCUUCCUUCUGACAUAAAAUGGAGAUAUGUAAAUCUUUGCAAUACGCUUGUUCUUAUGAUACAUCUUCCAAUAUCUUAUAGGUCUUAUGAAAAGAGGUCACCUCUUCAUCCCGCCUUGAAGAGGAUGGUGGCGGAACACCCUGACUCAGUACAUAAGGUUUCAGAAUCACUGCGAUUUCCAAUUUCUUCAAAGUCUGCCCAGCAUGAUUCAGGGAAUCAAAACAACAUUCAUGAUAGGAAGUGUGGUGCAGCGUCAGACGAUUCUCCAAGCCAAUCAGAGUCACCAUCCCAUUUGCGAAGGAUGGAUCCAAGAGGAAAUAGGUCUGCAUCUCUGAUAAUUCAUGUGGUGUGAAUAACUAGUGCUUAUUCUCUUUCCUUGACUGAUUAGAUUAUGUCGGGUUUUCCUUUAAAGAUCCCGUAGCCAUUCUGAGAGUCCUGUUAAACAAACUAGAAGACGUAUACCUCAUUGUCACAAUCCUGAAACAAGUAGAGAAAAAGAUCAACCGAGUCAUGCCAGGUCCAAUUUUGUUUUACUAUCUCUCAUUCAACUUUCAAAUUUUUCAAGUUCGAUAGUGGCUCAUAGUUAUCGUGGUUUGAAUUUACAUUCUGAUUUUCAGGGAGGAUGCUUAUCAUAGGGUUGAUUCCUCAUGCAAGAAAAGUAGAGAUUCACCUGCUAAUGUAUGGCAAAAGGACUUCCCUGCUAAGGACUUCGGUCCAGAAGAGUAUUUUUCUGAAAGAUUGGCAGAUGACUGCUCUCCGGUUUCCCGAGGUCGAGCUGCUAUCUUGGAAAACAGAAAGAAAGAACAUGAGAAAAAAAGGUGAUUGUGUUCUCCAUGCCUUCCAUUCUGCUUCCCUCCUCAGUCCUCACCAUUGCAUUCUGAUAUAUGCAAGCACAAAUGCAUUUUUCCUUUCUUUAUCAUGCAAUUGGCUGUUGGGACUUGGGAGAUUCAUUCAAGGUAAAAUAACACAUCGUAGCUCUUGUUUCAAUUAGAGAAAUAAGCUUUACACUUUUUGAGAGCUCAUCCUGUCUUGUGCCAAAAAUGAUGUACUUCCAGAGCUCCAGAGCUUUAUAUUUAUUUCAUUUUUGACUUAUAUUGUCAUCUUGCAUGGUGAAGAAAGGGUUAGUAAAGCCAAACUAUGUAGUUGACUUGAAGUUUCAUAUUAUGAAUAUGUUCAUCGAUCAGCUUAUUCUGGUUGUUGUCCAUUUGUUGUUUGGAUAAAUAACUUGCAGUUACUUCCUCAUCUCAAGAGAAGAUUUUCUAUCUAUUUAGCUUCACUUGUGGUUUCUGGUGUUAAGAUGGUGAGAUAUAACUAGGACGACUUUUCUGCCACAAACUCCUGCUGAUUAAUCUGAGUUGAUUUUUUGAUCAACAGCUGCAAAUUGAAAAUAGAAGUCAGAACUAGCUGACUGCCUUUGAGUCUGGGAUUGAUCUCCAGUGUAUACAAUUGAUUCUAACCUUGUUUAUUUGAGUUUUCACAAGUCCCUUGUAUGCAUUCUAUACGGUAAUUGACAUCUACUACUACUAGUAGUUGAAAAACUAUAUGAAAAUGAUGAAACACCAAUUCACAAAAUGUGCAGUUAUUGCAUGGUUAGGCACAGCUAAUCGGUGCUUUUGAGAAAAAUGGUCCUUCAACUUGCAGAAAACUAUAUGGUUCAGAGUAAACAGGAUUAUGCAGUAUCGGCUAGUUAUAGACAAUGCUUCAUGGGCUUGGGUAUGACUCUCAGGUGCUGCUAUGUGCCCCAGUGUUGGAUCUCUCUAUUCUAGAAGAAUUUUUUCUUGCAGACCCAUACCCAAGUGUUAUGCCAUUACCCAUUUCUAAGUGUCAGGUGCGGAUACUUUCGGAUAAAUUAAUUAGGAUAAAUUAAAGGGUCCGAGUGACAUCUACACAUGGCUGUGAAAAAAAAUUCUUAUCUAUUGUUCACAUGAUAUGGGGCAAAAAAUGUAUGGGAAGCUACCAUACGAGAAGUUAUAGGGAGUGCCUUGGUUGCUGCCACAUAAGCAAGCUCUUCAAUCAUAGCUGCCUACCUGAAUCGGAACUUUCUGAGAAGUUGUCUUGCUAUUAGUGUGAGAUGUUUGGGUGGUUAUAAUGCGGCAAAAAGUGGGUUCAUGUGGAAACAAUUGGGGAUCCCUGCAACUUUAUCGAAGAGGAUCACUCCUUGUAAUUGAGUACAUCCUUCAUUCUGCACAUCCAUUUUCAAAAAUUGCAUCCAACUUGAAAGUAACCACUCACAUGAAGGACAAUAAUUAGAUCCAUUUGGUGUGAGUUUGACACAUCACCAGUUCUAUAUAUACUUGGAUGGGUAGCACAUUGCACUGAUCCAUUUGAUGAUUGAGAGGUCUAUAUACGGAACAUAUUUUUGUGGAAGUUUUGUUAAUAUUUGGUACUUUGUGAACCGUAAUAUAUGUAUGCACAAAAAUUUGGAAGUGAUUUUGGCUCUUUGUUUGGCAGUGAAGAAGAUCUUCCUAAAAGACAUAAACAACUAGUGUCACAAUCACUGGAGGAAAUAGAGUACGGUCUUGGAAGAAUAGUGGACAAAAGCUAUGCUCCAGAUAAUGCUUAUGAUAGAGAGCAAUCCACUAAGGAGCAUGCAAGAGAUGCAUCCUCUUCAGAGGAAAGGGUAUCCGAUGAGCAGGCAGUGAAGAGCACUUAUGGAGAUGGUUAUGCAGUUAAAGCUGAGAAGCAAUCACGUGCAAAAAGCAAUGAAUUUAGAGAAUCACAUUAUGAAAUAGCAUCUGUUAAGAAGUCCGGAAAAGAGGUGGACCAAAGCAACCGUUUGGAUAUCCAUGAUUCGGGCUCUGAAGAAACUGAUAUGCAGAGAUAUCGGGAGAUGGAAAAGCGAAGGCGCAAAAAGUCUUCUAAGUAUAAAAGAAAUUUGGAUGACAGUUCUGAAUCUGAUUCUCAGAUAGAUGACAUGGAGGCAAAGAGGAGGAGGAAAGAUGAGAAAAAGCAACGCAAGGAGGAGAGACGUCUCAGGCGUGAAGAGAGGCAUUGGAGAAAAUUGGAACAUCGUGUAGGCAAACUUAAAGUGAAAUCUGUAGAUACUGUUACUCCCCCAUCAGAUUUGGAGAAAAAUCAUAAUGAUGCUGAUGAAUCUGAUGGUGAUGCUGCCAUAAGAAAAGGUUCUCAUCUAAGUGACACAGAAGAAACAGAGUCAGAGCGGAAGCAGCUUGAGAUUGAGCUGCGAGAGAAGGCCCUCGAAUCUCUCAGAGCAAAGAAGUCUAUCAAUCAUUGAACUUAUGAUAUUUGAGUUGCUGUUUUCUUAUGUAAUAUGCAUUCAUAUGUUCUGUAGAAUGAGAUAUCAUUUCA
rnacentral:lncRNA from 1 species